rnacentral:misc_RNA from 1 species
CGCACAUUGCGCCCCGUGGUAUUCCGCGGGGCAUGCCUGUUCGAGCGUCAUUUCACCACUCCAGCCUCGCUGGGUAUUGGGUGCCGCGGUCUCCCGCGCGCCUUAAAGUGCUCCGGCUGAGCCCUCCGUCUCUCACCCGCGUUGUGACACAGUCUCGCGAUCGAGUACGGAUGGCCGCGGCCGUUAAAUCUUUAUACAGGUUGACCUCGGAUCAGGUAGGGAUACCCGCUGAACUUAA